UCCAGACUCCUACGGGAGGCAGCAGUGGGGGAUAUUGCACAAUGGGGGGAACCCUGAUGCAGCGACGCCGCGUGGGUGAAGGAGCGUUUCGGCGCGUAAAGCCCUCUCGGCAGGGAAGAAGGAGGACGGUACCUGACUAAGAAGCCCCGGCUAACUACGUGCCAGCAGCCGCGGUAAUACGUAGGGGGCAAGCGUUAUCCGGAUUUACUGGGUGUAAAGGGGGCGCAGACGGCAGCGCAAGCCAGGAGUGAAAGCCCGGGGCCCAACCCCGGGACUGCUCUUGGAACUGCGCGGCUGGAGUGCAGGAGGGGCAGGCGGAAUUCCUGGUGUAGCGGUGAAAUGCGUAGAUAUCAGGAGGAACACCGGUGGCGAAGGCGGCCUGCUGGACUGCGACUGACGUUGAGGCCCGAAAGCGUGGGGAGCAAACAGGAUUAGAUACCCCAGUACC
rnacentral:rRNA from 1 species